CCUACGGGAGGCAGCAGUAGGGAAUCUUCCGCAAUGGACGAAAGUCUGACGGAGCAACGCCGCGUGAACGAUGAAGGCCUUCGGGUCGUAAAGUUCUGUUGUUAGGGAAGAACAAGUGCUAGUUGAAUAAGCUGGCACCUUGACGGUACCUAACCAGAAAGCCACGGCUAACUACGUGCCAGCAGCCGCGGUAAUACGUAGGUGGCAAGCGUUGUCCGGAAUUAUUGGGCGUAAAGCGCGCGCAGGCGGUUUCUUAAGUCUGAUGUGAAAGCCCCCGGCUCAACCGGGGAGGGUCAUUGGAAACUGGGAAACUUGAGUGCAGAAGAGGAAAGUGGAAUUCCAAGUGUAGCGGUGAAAUGCGUAGAGAUUUGGAGGAACACCAGUGGCGAAGGCGACUUUCUGGUCUGUAACUGACGCUGAGGCGCGAAAGCGUGGGGAGCAAACAGGAUUAGAUACCCUGGUAGUCCACGCUGUAAACGAUGAGUGCUAAGUGUUAGAGGGUUUCCGCCCUUUAGUGCUGAAGUUAACGCAUUAAGCACUCCGCCUGGGGAGUACGGUCGCAAGACUGAAACUCAAAAGGAUUGACGG
rnacentral:rRNA from 1 species